UGGUAGUCUCCUUCCAUCAAGCUGUUCAGUUCAGUGGCCUUCAGCGGUAAAGCUCUUAGGAUACCCCCUGGAACAGGACUGGUGAACGAGGCCACAAACAUGGGAGAGCUCCUUUUACUUAGCGUGCUAAGUUGAUUCAGCUCCUUAGGAUGUAUGCUGGAAACCAAGAGGAUACUGGAACAUGACAGCAAUGUUUAUGAAUGCAUCAGACCUUGAUAAUAGCCAGCUUUCAGACUGAUUCAACUGUCAGGAACACCAAGUGUAUAACUUCAGUUUAAACCAGAUGUUGUCUUCCUAUGGAUUCUAUAAAAGAACUUUUGGUUCAGCCUACACCUCUCAGAUCUGACGGAUUACUGUUCUUCCAUGAAGGAUCUCACACUGCCCCUAAAUUUCUUGAUGUGGCAAUUCAGGCUGAAUUUGUCUAUGAUUUGGAAAGCUCCCAGAAAAAAAAUCAAGAGUGGGAACCAUCAAGUGUUACAGCAGUGCAAGAAAUAGCUUAUUUAGCUAAGUGUAUUGAAGACAGACUUGAUAUUGUCAGACACUCAAUGGAACAAGCUCCAGGAAACCUUCCUUCCAGAAAAUAAAAAUGGAAUUUGAAAUUUAAAACAUGAUGUGCUCAUGGAAGAAUGCAUAGCAACCUGUGAUGUUAUAUGAUUCAUUUCUAUAUACACAUGGAAAGAUUUUACAGAAAAGUAUGAUGGGAGAUGUACAGGAUAUUUAAAGUGACAUGAAGACUAUUCCACAUAAUGAUACUUAUUUAAUCUAUCAAGAGCUAGAAUAAAGGCUUAAAUACUUGUGUUUGCCCUCUUAUCUUUCAGUAAGUUGUCACAUCAUGCCUCAUUCCAUUACCUAUUCAAUCAUCCUUUAAACCUGGUUAUGUGUUUAGAGGGGAAGGCUGGUGAAGAGAGUAAAACAAAAUGAACAUGUUCUUCAUUUGCUAAAUCCCUAAAGAUCUUGCUGAAAUUUUACAAAAAAAAAUAUGUUUUAGAUAUAUAUGAAGCUAGUGUCAAAGAAGUCAGUGCUUUAAGUUGAAAAUUUUACAUGGCUUUGGUUGAUUUCUUCUUUGUUUAGGAAUUUUGUAACUAAUAUUAUGUGGGUUUUAAUGGUUUGAACUGCUGUUGCUUCUGUUUGGAAAGGUUUGGGGACAUGUUUUGUUCAUAGUUCAAGGUUUCAUCUGAGCGCAAACAUAAAUAUCCAAUUUUUCAGAUCCUUGAAGUGUACGGUUCUAAAUAUCAGUAUGGGUGUUAGAAGGCAUAUAGCACCUUUGAAAAAGGCCACUGGAGAAAACUAGGGGAAAUGACUACAAAUUGCACUAGGAGAGAUUUCAUCUUGACUUAAGAAAGAAAUAUUUCACAGUAAGAGCAACCUCCCUAGGGAUAUAGUAGAGUCCCAUGGCUGGAGGUUUUCAAGAUGUGACUGGACAGGGUGCUAGAUAAUCUCAUCUAGGCUCGCUUUCUCAUGAUAAACCUCCCAGCAUGACUGCCUAAGGCUUGACAGGAACAGAACCAAGAUCUCCGGGUUUAUAAGACUGGGCUUUAAUUUUGAGCCUGGAGCAAAUAUUUGUAAUCCUCUCCAUCUCUACCGACUCGCUCUAAAAGUAGAAUAUAAGUCCUGGUAUUAGUGAGAACUGAAUUUAGUUUAAAGGAUUGGGUCCUGUUCUUUUUGGAUUAUUUCUAUUUAAAAUGUAUUUCACUGAUUUAUUGUGGGUUGUUUUUAUUUGUGGCAGACAGCUGUAUCUGGUUAUACGGUUUAUUGUUUUGUAUUAAAUUUCUGAGCUGAUUUUAUGUCAUCUAUAUGUAAAUAAAUUGCACUGCCAAAGUUGGGGGUUGACCUCCCAGCGUUUGCGUAGGAGUUAUGAUCAGAUGUAUCCUCAGGUGAGUUAACUGAAUUGUUAAGACUAAUGACUACACACUCUCCAUUAAGGAUGGGAAGUUCACAUUUACGGGAGAUACAAUCCCUUGUAUCCUUUGUAAACUCUUGUGUGUAUACAUCAGUCAAAGAAGGCAUGAGUGAACAAGAACUCUCUCGUGUGUAUACAGUAAUGCAUUUUGCUAUGCAAAUGAUCAACAAAGGCUUUGAAGCUUGAAAUAUUUCCUGAUUUAUUUCUUAAUGUUUUCUAUGGGGGCAUGUGUACCUUGUAAGCCAAUAUGGCCUGAUAGAGGUGGUUUUGUGUCACUGGUGAGUGAUUGCAUGCUUUGUGGGUCAUUCACAUUAACAUUUUGAUUAUGAUGGGAAGUUACAGAGGACGAGCUGCAGACGAUGAUAUUUCACUGGAAUGUAUUAAUUUAGAUGAAGA